rnacentral:rRNA from 1 species
UACGGAGGGGUUAGCGUUGUUCGGAAUUACUGGGCGUAGAGCGCACGUAGGCGGAUUGGAAAGUUGGGGGUGAAAUCCCAGGGGCUCAACCCCUGGAACUGCCUCCAAAACUCCCAGUCUGGAGUUCGAGAGAGGUGAGUGGAAUUCCGAGUGUAGAGGUGAAAUUCGUAGAUAAUUCGGAGGAACACCAGUGGCGAAAGGCGGCUCACUGGCUCGAUACUGACGCUGAGGUGCGAAAGUGUGGGGAGCAAAACAGG